GCUGGGCACAGUGGUGCCCGCCUGUAAUCUCAGCAGCUCAGGAGGCUGAGGCAGGAGGAUUGCAAGUCCAAAGGCAGCCUCAACAAUUUGGCAAGACUCUGUCUCAA
rnacentral:sRNA from 1 species